CCGUAACGAGCGCAACCCUUGCCUUAGUUACCAGCACGUUAUGGUGGGCACUCUAAGGAGACUGCGGUGACAAACCGGAGGAAGGUGGGGAUGACGUCAAGUCAUCAUGGCCCUUACGGCCUGGGCUACACACGUGCUACAAUGGUCGGUACAAAGGGUUGCCAAGCCGCGAGGUGGAGCUAAUCCCAUAAAACCGAUCGUAGUCCGGAUCGCAGUCUGCAACUCGACUGCGUGAAGUCGGAAUCGCUAGUAAUCGUGAAUCAGAAUGUCACGGUGAAUACGUUCCCGGGCCUU
rnacentral:rRNA from 1 species